CGAACGUGGCACGAACUGAGUCCCCGGUGACGUUGGCGAACAGGUGAGCGUGUCAUGGGAACGUGCCUAGUAGCGGGGGAUAACUACGCACGAAGCGUAGCUAAUGCCACCAUCGCCGCUAAGGGGAAAGCGGGGACAGCUUUGGGCUCAACACUAUUAGAGCAGCCGAUAUCGGAUUAGCUAGUUGGUGGGAGGUAACGGCUCACCAAGGCGACGAUCCGUAGCUGGUUUGAGAGGACGACCAGCCACACUGGGACUGAGACACGGCCCAGACUCCUACGGGAGGCAGCAGUGGGGAAUUUUGGACAAUGGGAAACCUGAUCCAGCCAUCCCGCGCGUGUUGCGAUGAAGGCCAUGGGUUGUAAACACUUUGGCAGGAAAGAAACGGCAGGAUAAUACCCCGUGCAACUGACAGUACCUGCAGAAUAAGCACCGGCUAACUACGUGCCAGCGGCCGCGGUAAUGCAUAGGGUUCACAUGACGUUAAUCGGAAUUACUGGGCGUAAAGCGUGCGCAGGCGGUUCGGAAAGAAAGAUGUGAAAUCCCAGAGCUUAACUUUGGAACUGCAUUUUUUAACUACCGAGCUAGAGUGUGUCAGGAGAGUGGAAUUCCGUGCAGUGAAAUGCGUAGAUAUGCGGAGGAACACCGAUGGCGAAGGCAGCUCCUGGGAUAACACUGACGCUGUGCACGAAAGCGUGGGGAGCAAACGGAUUAGAUACCCUGGUAGUCCACGCCCUAAACGAUGUCAACUAGCUGUUGGGGCCUUCCGGGCUGGUUGGCUAGCUAACGCGUGAAGUUGACCGCCUGGGGAGUACAGUCGCAGAUUAAAACUCAAAGGAAUUGACGGGGACCGCACAAGCGGUGGAUGAUGUGGAUUAAUUCGAUGCAACGCAGCGACACCACGCUGACAUAUGGAAGUCGAAAAGAGGAUUUGGGAGUGCUCGCGAAGACCGGAACACGAAUGCUGCCUGGCUGUGUCCAGCUCGGUGUCAUUGAGAUGUGGAUGGAAGUCCCGCAACGAGCACAACCACUGUCAUUAGUUGCUACGAAAGGGCACUCUAAUGAGACUGCCGGUGACAAACCGGAGGAAGGUGAAGUAUGACGUCAAGUCCUCAUGGCCCUUAUGGGUAGGGCUUCACACGUCAUACAAUGGUCCGGGUUGAAGGGUCGCCAGCCCGCGAGGGAAUAAUCCCAGAAACCCGAUCGUAGUCCGGAUCAUGAUCUGCAACUCGACUGCGUGAAGUCGGAAUCGCUAGUAAUCGCGGAUCAGCAUGUCACGGUGAAUACGUUCCCGGGUCUUGUACACACCGCCCGUCACACCAUGGAGUGGGUUUUACAGAAGUAGUUAGCCUAACCGUAAGGAGGGCGAUUACCACGGUAGGAUUCAUGACUGGGGUGAAGUCGUAACAAAGGUAA
rnacentral:rRNA from 1 species